GUGCCAGCCGCCGCGGUAAUACCGGCAGCCCAAGUGAUGGCCGCUGUUAUUGGGCCUAAAGCGUCCGUCGCUGGCCGCACGAGUCCGUCGGGAAAUCCACUCGCCCAACGAGUGGGCGUCCGACGGAAACUGCACAGCUUGGGACCGGAAGGCUCGAAGGGUACGUUCGGGGUAGGAGUGAAAUCCCGUAAUCCCGGACGGACUACCGAUGGCGAAAGCACUCUGAGAAGACGGCUUCGACAGUGAGGGACGAAAGCUCGGGUCUCAAACCGGAUUAGAUACCCUGGUAGUCC
rnacentral:rRNA from 1 species